rnacentral:rRNA from 1 species
UAACAUUUGAGUGAGUGGCGGACGGGUGAGUAACACGUGGGUAACCUGCCCUAAAGUGGGGGAUAACAUUUGGAAACAGAUGCUAAUACCGCAUAAAACCUAGCACCGCAUGGUGCAAGGUUGAAAGAUGGUUUCGGCUAUCACUUUAGGAUGGACCCGCGGUGCAUUAGUUAGUUGGUGAGGUAAAGGCUCACCAAGACCGUGAUGCAUAGCCGACCUGAGAGGGUAAUCGGCCACACUGGGACUGAGACACGGCCCAGACUCCUACGGGAGGCAGCAGUAGGGAAUCUUCCACAAUGGACGAAAGUCUGAUGGAGCAACGCCGCGUGAGUGAAGAAGGUUUUCGGAUCGUAAAACUCUGUUGUUGGAGAAGAACGUAUUUGAUAGUAACUGAUCAGGUAGUGACGGUAUCCAACCAGAAAGCCACGGCUAACUACGUGCCAGCAGCCGCGGUAAUACGUAGGUGGCAAGCGUUGUCCGGAUUUAUUGGGCGUAAAGCGAGCGCAGGCGGUUUCUUAAGUCUGAUGUGAAAGCCUUCGGCUCAACCGAAGAAGUGCAUCGGAAACUGGGAAACUUGAGUGCAGAAGAGGACAGUGGAACUCCAUGUGUAGCGGUGAAAUGCGUAGAUAUAUGGAAGAACACCAGUGGCGAAGGCGGCUGUCUGGUCUGUAACUGACGCUGAGGCUCGAAAGCAUGGGUAGCAAACAGGAUUAGAUACCCUGGUAGUCCAUGCCGUAAACGAUGAGUGCUAGGUGUUGGAGGGUUUCCGCCCUUCAGUGCCGCAGCUAACGCAUUAAGCACUCCGCCUGGGGAGUACGACCGCAAGGUUGAAACUCAAAGGAAUUGACGGGGGCCCGCACAAGCGGUGGAGCAUGUGGUUUAAUUCGAAGCAACGCGAAGAACCUUACCAGGUCUUGACAUCCUUUGACCACUCUAGAGAUAGAGCUUUCCCUUCGGGGACAAAGUGACAGGUGGUGCAUGGUUGUCGUCAGCUCGUGUCGUGAGAUGUUGGGGUUAAGUC